rnacentral:rRNA from 1 species
UACAGAGGGGGCAAGCGUUGUUCGGAAUUACUGGGCGUAAAGGGCGCGUAGGCGGCCUUCUAAGUCGAACGUGAAAUCCCCGGGCUCAACCCGGGAACUGCGUCCGAUACUGGAAGGCUUGAAUUCGGGAGAGGGAAGCGGAAUUCCGGGUGUAGCGGUGAAAUGCGUAGAUAUCCGGAGGAACACCGGUGGCGAAGGCGGCUUCCUGGACCGACACUGACGCUGAGGCGCGAAAGCUAGGGGAGCAAACGGG